UGGGGGAUAUUGCACAAUGGGGGAAACCCUGAUGCAGCGACGCCGCGUGAGGGAAGACGGUUUUCGGAUUGUAAACCUCUGUCUUCAGGGACGAAGAAAUGACGGUACCUGAAGAGGAAGCCACGGCUAACUACGUGCCAGCAGCCGCGGUAAUACGUAGGUGGCAAGCGUUGUCCGGAAUUAUUGGGUGUAAAGGGAGCGUAGGCGGGCGAUCAAGUUGAAUGUUAAAACUAUCGGCUUAACUGGUAGUUGCUUUCAAAACUGGUUGUCUUGAGUGAAGUAGAGGCAGGCGGAAUUCCUAGUGUAGCGGUGAAAUGCGUAGAUAUUAGGAGGAACACCAGUGGCGAAGGCGGCCUGCUGGGCUUUUACUGACGCUGAGGCUCGAAAGCGUGGGUAGCAAACAGG
rnacentral:rRNA from 2 species